AUUGAACGCUGGCGGCAGGCCUAACACAUGCAAGUCGAACGGUAACAGGAAGCAGCUUGCUGCUUUGCUGACGAGUGGCGGACGGGUGAGUAAUGUCUGGGAAACUGCCCGAUGGAGGGGGAUAACUACUGGAAACGGUAGCUAAUACCGCAUAACGUCGCAAGACCAAAGAGGGGGACCUUAGGGCCUCUUGCCAUCGGAUGUGCCCAGAUGGGAUUAGCUAGUAGGUGGGGUAACGGCUCACCUAGGCGACGAUCCCUAGCUGGUCUGAGAGGAUGACCAGCCACACUGGAACUGAGACACGGUCCAGACUCCUACGGGAGGCAGCAGUGGGGAAUAUUGCACAAUGGGCGCAAGCCUGAUGCAGCCAUGCCGCGUGUAUGAAGAAGGCCUUCGGGUUUUAAAGUACUUUCAGCGGGGAGGAAGGGAGUAAAGUUAAUACCUUUGCUCAUUGACGUUACCCGCAGAAGAAGCACCGGCUAACUCCGUG
rnacentral:rRNA from 1 species